rnacentral:rRNA from 1 species
AUUAAACUGAAGAGUUUGAUCCUGGCUCAGAUUGAACGCUGGCGGUAUGCUUAACACAUGCAAGUCGAACGGUAACAAUGGUAGCUUGCUACCAGGCGUCGAGUGGCGGACGGGUGAGUAACGCGUAGGAAUCUGCCUGAUAGUGGGGGAUAGCCCAGAGAAAUCUGGAUUAAUACCGCAUAAUCUCUAUGGAGUAAAGGAGCCCUCUUCUUGAAAGGUUUCGCUAUCAGAUGAGCCUGCGUAAGAUUAGCUUGUUGGUGAGGUAAAAGCUCACCAAGGCGACGAUCUUUAGCUGGUCUGAGAGGAUGAUCAGCCACACUGGAACUGAGACACGGUCCAGACUCCUACGGGAGGCAGCAGUGGGGAAUAUUGGACAAUGGGCGCAAGCCUGAUCCAGCAAU